rnacentral:lncRNA from 1 species
AAUAGUUAAAUUUACGCAGGUUGUGCCAUAGGGGUCUUCUCCCCACAACAGUAUUAAAUGCAUAUACAAAGCUGAUAUAAAAAGAAACAUUUGAAAUCUUACAAGUUGUCAGGCAGUGGAUUAUAUGGUCUGUUGUUUUGAUUAUAUCCAGCCGAACCAAAUCCUCUUUCCAAAUAAUCAGAAUCCAACCAUUUAGAUGAUGGCUGAAGUUGGUAGCCACUCUCUAGCCUACGAACUUGGUCCUAGAAAUCCCCUCCAAGGCUUGAUAAUUGAGCUUUGUUUCCAUGAUACUCAUUACUACCACCCUUUUCUUUCUUAGGUAAUUCAUAACCUCUCUCUAUUUCAGAGGCAUGUUCAGGCCUCUAAUAUUCUAGAAGGAGAUAAUCAUUGUUUGUUGGGAUUGUGGGAAUCAUCCUCCAUUUCUGCACAAAAGUCUACAAGUGAUGUUGAUUUCCCACCUUUUCCUUGGUUCACUUUGUCCUUAUUUUUCCUUCUCGCACCACCUUUUGCCAAUGGGGGAUGAUGAUAGAGGAUGAUGCUUUAUUUGGGGCUUUGGCAAGUACAACAUUCCCAUGCCUUCCAGGUACAGAAGCAUGUCCCUUCUUCAAGCUCCCAGCUGCUAUGGUACCCUGGGGUUUGGAUAGUUGAUGCAACUUUCUUCUUAAUUCUCCGCUGGCAAUUUGAUUGGCUUGUUGAAUGUAAAUUUCACCCCCAAUCUGCUUUGGGGGUUAGUUUGGGGGUUGUUCUAGGCUGGGGGCUGUGAUAGGAUCUGAGGUAGUCUCCAAAAUUUCUGGGUUGGGGUCUGUGAUGACUUCUAGACCAAUAUCCAAAUUUGCAGAACUAUGGUCAGUGGGGGUGGCCAUAUCCUCCUCUACCUCUGGAGAUUCUGAGGUCCCAUCUAGAUUUUUGGAAGUGAUGUUAUUUGCCUCAAUUCCAGGAUUGGCCAAUUAUGGAUGCUUUUUUCAUUGCUGCUAACUCUUCUUUCCUUCCCCUAUUCCUUCAACCACAUCAGCUGCUGCACUCUGUGACUCCUACUCUGCAAACUUGGUAGAAUUUUCUACUGGUUCAUUGGCAUUGCUUGGAGAUUUUGCUUUUCCCGUGCAGAUUUCUUUAAUAUGGCCCAUUACCCUGCAAUGGGCACAAUAUCUAGGUAAGUUUUCAUAGUAGAUUGAUUGCUCGUGUUCGCCUCCUUCUUGGAACUCUAGCACUACCAUAUGAACCAGCUCCUUUGCCAUAUCUACCUCAAUCACACAUCUAGCAAAGGUGACUCUCUCUUUUUGAGUGGUCAACUUAUCCAUAUGGAGUGGUCUACCAAGUCUGGAGCAAAUUUUGCCAAAGAACAUUGAGUUCCAUAGGGUUAAAGGGACAUUCCUCAACUGGACCCUAAUCGGAAAUGUACUAAUUGCUUCUUUCCCAAAGUUGAAGUACCUGGGCAUUGGCUUCAGUAAUAAGUAAUAAGGGGCUUCCAUAGAUAAUAUAGGGGCCAUUCUCUAGGACUUUGGCCUGGUCUUCCAUCGUGUCAAAUUGGAAAACUAUCCGCCCGCUUCUGUGGAAUUGAAUGGAGGGGUGGACCUUCCACGAGGAUACAAUCAGAUUUAGGGCUUGUUUCCCUGGGAAUCUCCCCCAAAGUAUCCAACAAGGCUCCUCUCCCAUGGGCAAUCUGAGCCCUAGAGGUCCUCCACUCCUAGUUUGAUUGGACCAUUUUCAAAUUGAAGAACUCCAACUUGCUGCCAUUUGAUGGGAGCCUAUUUUUUGUAAAUAAGCCUGCAAAAGUCUUUUUCUUAACCUCAUGAUUGACUGUCCUCAUGCCCCUAGCAUCGCCAGUAGUGGAUGCUUCAUUUUGAAUAUUCGUAGAUUUCUCAUGGGCAUUCUAUCAACCACCUUGGGUGCUAUAAGAAUCUUCAUCUCCGAGAGUCUGUAAGGGUGUAUCUGAUUGUGUAUUUGAUGAGCCCCCAUCCGUAUCAUGUCCUCCUAGGGUGUCUCCAUCUAGUUUUUGUUUAGGGACUGUCCCCAAGCCCUCUAGGUCUUCCGAAUCCGUUUCAGCGCCUCCAGUAGCUGCAUUGUUGAACAAUAUAGCAAUAUAUCUCCCAUCUAUCUCCACACGCCGGGAGGAUGUCCCUGACUGACCACCCCCAAAGUUUUGUGUUGGUUUUGCUAAUGCUACAACAAGUAUUGGGUCUUCCUUAAGCUUCGAGGAAGAACUAUAUCUCCCUUCAUUGUGUUUGUUUUUCCCUCUUGCCAUAUACAGAAGCUCACUCUUCGCUACUUCAAUAGGGCUCAAUAGCUCAGAGCAAGAGUAAGUGAGCUCCUAGGAAACUGAACCUCAAAUUAUAGAUUUAGAGAUGCGUCUAAACUGCAAGUGAUAGCAGUUAGACCCAUGUCUAAAUCUAAUUCCAGAUUCACUACGAAAAGUGAUGAUUCUAAGAUGAAAAAGAAGAAAGAAGAUGAAGAAGAAGGAUCGAGCUACCAGCAUAGCGAGGGCAGUGAGAUUUCCAAGAAA